UUGUGGCUCAGUGGUAGAGUGCUUGCCUAGCAUGUGUGAGGCCUUGGGUUCGAUCCUCAACUAAA
rnacentral:tRNA from 1 species